rnacentral:tRNA from 1 species
GGGGGUGUAGCUCAGUUGGUUCAGAGCGCUGGCCUGUCACGCCAGAGGUCGCGGGUUCGAGUCCCGUCACUCCCGCCA